CGUAAGCCCAUGCCGGUCGAAGAUACCAGGCCGCUGCGACUGUUUAUUAAAAACACAGCACUCUGCAAACACGAAAGUGGACGUAUAGGGUGUGACGCCUGCCCGGUGCCGGAAGGUUAAUUGAUGGGGUUAGCGCAAGCGAAGCUCUUGAUCGAAGCCCCGGUAAACGGCGGCCGUAACUAUAACGGUCCUAAGGUAGCGAAAUUCCUUGUCGGGUAAGUUCCGACCUGCACGAAUGGCGUAACGAUGGCGGCGCUGUCUCCACCCGAGACUCAGUGAAAUUGAAAUCGCUGUGAAGAUGCAGUGUAUCCGCGGCUAGACGGAAAGACCCCGUGAACCUUUACUAUAGCUUUGCACUGGACUUUGAGCUUGCUUGUGUAGGAUAGGUGGGAGGCUUUGAAGUGGGGACGCCAGUUCUCAUGGAGCCAUCCUUGAAAUACCACCCUGGCAACCUUGAGGUUCUAACUCUGGUCCGUUAUCCGGAUCGAGGACAGUGUAUGGUGGGUAGUUUGACUGGGGCGGUCUCCUCCCAAAGAGUAACGGAGGAGUACGAAGGUGCGCUCAGACCGGUCGGAAAUCGGUCGUAGAGUAUAAAGGCAAAAGCGCGCUUGACUGCGAGACAGACACGUCGAGCAGGUACGAAAGUAGGUCUUAGUGAUCCGGUGGUUCUGUAUGGAAGGGCCAUCGCUCAACGGAUAAAAGGUACUCCGGGGAUAACAGGCUGAUACCGCCCAAGAGUUCAUAUCGACGGCGGUGUUUGGCACCUCGAUGUCGGCUCAUCACAUCCUGGGGCUGAAGCCGGUCCCAAGGGUAUGGCUGUUCGCCAUUUAAAGUGGUACGCGAGCUGGGUUUAGAACGUCGUGAGACAGUUCGGUCCCUAUCUGCCGUGGACGUUUGAGAUUUGAGAGGGGCUGACCUUAGUACGAGAGGACCGGGUUGGACGAACCUCUGGUGUUCCGGUUGUCACGCCAGUGGCAUUGCCGGGUAGCUAUGUUCGGAAAAGAUAACCGCUGAAAGCAUCUAAGCGGGAAACUUGCCUCAAGAUGAGAUCUCACUGGAGCCUUGAGCUCCCUGAAGGGCCGUCGAAGACUACGACGUUGAUAGGU
rnacentral:rRNA from 1 species